AAGCCUGAUCCAGCCAUGCCGCGUGUGUGAAGAAGGUCUUCGGACUUGUAAAGCACUUUAAGUUGGGAGGAAGGGCAGUUACUUAAUACGUGAUUGUCUUGACGUUACCGACAGAAUAAGCACCGGCUAACUCUGUGCCAGCAGCCGCGGUAAAUACAGAGGGUGCAAGCGUUAAUCGGAAUUACUGGGCGUAAAGCGCGCGUAGGUGGUUUGUUAAGUUGAAUGUGAAAUCCCCGGGCUCAACCUGGGAACUGCAUCCAAAACUGGCAAGCUAGAGUAUGGUAGAGGGUAGUGGAAUUUCCUGUGUAGCGGUGAAAAUGCGUAGAUAUAGGAAGGAACACCAGUGGCGAAGGCGACUACCUGGACUGAUACUGACACUGAGGUGCGAAAGCGUGGGGAGCAAACAGGAUUAGAUA
rnacentral:rRNA from 1 species